rnacentral:sRNA from 1 species
UAUGUACUCAGAAUGCACUUGGCAUGUAGUAAGUGUGAUCCAUGGUAUGAUAUAUUGAAGUGGGAUUCAUAGACUAUGUCAGGCUUUAGAAAGUCUCCUUUCCUGAUCUGCUUAUGCCCACUUGAGAUGGGGGGAUAUGGAUCCCCUUUCCCUCAGGAUGCCCCCCAGACUCCCUAGCUGGGUAGAGAAUUGGAGCAGCCCAGGAAUUUCAAAAUCCCAAGGCCAACUGGGGGCUCCGGCAGGGAGGGCAGGAGAGGAGAACAUGGAGAAACGAGAGGUGCCAGUGAUAUUCUUCCCUCUGGUCCUGUUCUAGAACUAAUUGUGUGUGAUUCAGCCAGUCAGGUUUUCCUUCAGAUAAAGGAAGAGCUGUGGAAUGCACCUUUGAGUCUGCACCCAAGGGCCUUGCUAAUACUUCACCUGCCUGAGUUCGGACCCAUUUAUACCACUGGUUUCGACUCACCUGAACCUCUCUUUGCAAAGAACAAACCCUAGUGCUCCCUUCCCCACCCCCCCAACAAGCCAGCUGACCAAGUACCCCAACAUGCCCAGCAGAGCAUGCUGGCCCCUCUCCCAGAUUCACCACGGGAGAAGGCGAUUGCAUGAGCGCAGGAGGAACUUGACCUGCUCCUCUGUGAAGGAGGCUCCUUCCCCACCCCAGAGACAUGGAACAGGCACUAAGCAGCCGGCACUCCACAUUUGGGGCCGGGAGCUGCAGGCUUGGGAGUCCCACCUGCCUGCUUUUGAAUCCUGUCAAGACUCUGGCUUGGCAACCUUGGGCAUGUGAUGUGACCUUCCUGAGCCUGCAUUCCCUCACCUGGAAAUGAUGAGCAGUUACUGAUGUCACAGAUUUGGGGAAGAGUCUGUGAGGUCAUGAAUGUGCAGGCCAGGCUGAGCGCUCUGCGAAUAUUAACUGGUAUCAUUGUCUGAAACUGUUAUUUUGUUCAGCUAAUGUUUACUGCAUACUUUCUGUGUACUGGGCACUAUUCUUGGUGAAAUUUAGUGAAUGUUACAUCCCUGACCUUCUGGAGCUGACAUGCUAGUUAGGGGGACAGGUCAAACACUAGCUUGUCAGAUGGUGAUCGGUGCUCUGGUGAAAGAUAAAUCAGGGAAUGGGUGGAGGAGUGCAGGGAGGUGGGAGGCGGGCCUUUGGGGUUUGUGAGAAGUCACUGCUGCCAAGAGGGUGUGUGCUGGGAUGGGAUGGGUCAUUCCGCCUGUGGUCCUCUCCCUCUGUUGCCAGCUGAGGAGACUGAGGUACAGCAAGAUUUUCUUCUUGACUCUCCCUUCUAAUCUUCUGCCCCAUCAAAUUCCAGGUCCCUGGGAGGUGAUGUUGCCUCUGAUGGUGACUUCCUCAUCUUUGAGGGGAACCGUUACAGCCGGAAGGGCUUUCUGUUCAAGAGCUUCGCCAUGUCUGCUGUGAUCACGGAGGGUGUGAAGCCAACACUCUCUGAGCUGGAAAAGUUUGAGGACCAGCCAGAGGGCAUCGACCUGGAGGUGGUGACUGAGAGCACAGGGAAGGAGCGGGAGCACAACUUCCAACCUGGGGACAACGUGGAGGUCUGUGAGGGUGAGCUCAUCAACCUGCAAGGCAAGAUCCUCAGCGUGGAUGGCAACAAGAUCACCAUCAUGCCCAAGCAUGAGGACCUCAAGGACAUGUUGGAGUUCCCAGCCCAGGAACUUCGGAAAUACUUCAAGAUGGGGGACCACGUGAAGGUGAUUGCUGGCCGAUUCGAGGGCGACACAGGCCUCAUUGUGCGGGUGGAGGAGAAUUUUGUUAUACUGUUCUCUGACCUCACCAUGCAUGAGCUGAAGGUGCUCCCCCGGGACCUGCAGCUCUGCUCAGAGACAGCAUCAGGUGUGGAUGUUGGGGGCCAGCAUGAAUGGGGCGAGCUGGUGCAGCUGGAUCCCCAGACUGUGGGUGUCAUCGUGCGACUAGAACGGGAGACCUUCCAGGUGCUGAACAUGUACGGGAAGGUGGUGACUGUCAGACAUCAGGCUGUGACCCGGAAGAAGGACAACCGCUUUGCUGUGGCCUUGGACUCAGAGCAGAACAACAUCCAUGUGAAAGACAUCGUUAAGGUCAUUGAUGGCCCCCACUCAGGCCGAGAAGGGGAGAUUCGCCAUCUCUUCCGAAGCUUCGCCUUCCUACAUUGCAAGAAACUGGUGGAGAACGGGGGCAUGUUUGUCUGCAAGACCCGCCACCUGGUGCUGGCUGGGGGCUCAAAGCCCCGUGAUGUGACCAACUUCACCGUGGGUGGCUUUGCGCCUAUGAGUCCCCGGAUCAGCAGCCCCAUGCACCCCAGUGCUGGAGGUCAGCGUGGCGGCUUUGGUAGCCCAGGUGGCGGCAGUGGUGGCAUGAGCAGGGGCCGGGGCCGGAGGGACAACGAACUCAUCGGCCAGACCGUGCGCAUCUCCCAGGGGCCCUACAAAGGCUACAUCGGUGUGGUGAAGGAUGCCACAGAGUCCACGGCCCGUGUGGAGCUGCACUCGACCUGCCAGACCAUCUCUGUGGACCGUCAGCGGCUCACCACAGUGGGCUCACGGCGCCCGGGUGGCAUGACCUCGACCUAUGGGCGGACGCCCAUGUAUGGCUCCCAGACGCCCAUGUAUGGCUCUGGCUCCCGAACACCCAUGUACGGCUCACAGACACCCCUCCAGGAUGGUAGCCGCACCCCACACUACGGCUCGCAGACGCCCCUGCAUGAUGGCAGCCGCACUCCUGCCCAGAGUGGGGCCUGGGACCCCAACAACCCCAACACGCCGUCACGGGCUGAGGAAGAAUAUGAGUAUGCUUUCGAUGAUGAGCCCACCCCGUCCCCGCAGGCCUAUGGGGGAACCCCCAAUCCCCAAACACCUGGCUACCCAGACCCCUCGUCCCCACAGGUCAACCCACAAUACAACCCGCAGACGCCAGGGACGCCGGCCAUGUACAACACAGACCAGUUCUCUCCCUAUGCUGCCCCCUCCCCACAAGGUUCCUACCAGCCCAGCCCCAGCCCCCAGAGCUACCACCAGGUGGCGCCAAGCCCAGCAGGCUACCAGAAUACCCACUCCCCGGCCAGCUACCACCCUACACCGUCGCCCAUGGCCUAUCAGGCUAGCCCCAGCCCGAGCCCCGUUGGCUACAGUCCUAUGACACCUGGAGCUCCCUCCCCUGGUGGCUACAACCCACACACGCCAGGCUCAGGCAUCGAGCAGAACUCCAGCGACUGGGUAACCACUGACAUUCAGGUGAAGGUGCGGGACACCUACCUGGAUACACAGGUGGUGGGACAGACAGGUGUCAUCCGCAGUGUCACGGUACGUGGGGCCCAGGGUGGUGGGUGAGCAGGCAUCCUCUCCUUGGUACCCCCUAAACUGGGGACAGACCUGUCCCCAGAUGGUGACAGCCCAGAGUGGGCAGAGCUGGGAUUGAGGAAGCCUAGAGGGCAAGGGGAGCUAUGUGAACCCAAAGGAGUCAUCUUACCUGAUUUAGCGGGGAAUCAGGGAGGGCUGCCUGGAGAAGGAGAAAUCUGAGCCAAGACAUGACAAAUGAAUAGGAGUAAGCUAAGGAAAGUGACUGGGGUGAGUGUGUUCCAAAUGGAGGGAACUGCAUGUACAGAGGCCUGGAGGUGAGGGGAACCUGGGCACAUUCCGGGAGCUAAAAGGUUUGUUGUGGCUGGAACAUAAAGAGCCGAAGGGGGCCGGGCAGUGCUUCCCACCUGUAAUCCCAGCACUCUGGGAGGCCGAGGUGGGCAGAUCACCUGAGGUCAGGAGUUCAAGACCAGCCUGGUCAAUGUGGUGAAACCCUGUCUCUACUAAAAAUAC